rnacentral:rRNA from 1 species
AGAGUUUGAUCAUGGCUCAGAUUGAACGCUGGCGGUAUGCUUAACACAUGCAAGUCGAACGGAAACGAUACUAGCUUGCUAGUAGGCGUCGAGUGGCGGACGGGUGAGUAACGCGUAGGAAUCUACCAGAUAGUGGGGGAUAGCCCGGAGAAAUUCGGAUUAAUACCGCAUAAUCUCUACNAANUAAAGGAGGCCUCUAUUUAUAUGCUUUCGCUAUCUGAUGAGCCUGCGUAAGAUUAGUUAGUUGGUGAGGUAAAAGCUCACCAAGGCGACGAUCUUUAGCUGGUCUGAGAGGAUGAUCAGCCACACUGGGACUGAGACACGGCCCAGACUCCUACGGGAGGCAGCAGUGGGGAAUAUCGGACAAUGGGGGCAACCCUGAUCCAGCAAUACCGCGUGUGUGAAGAAGGCCUGAGGGUUGUA